GAGGCCUUAGCUUAAGUAAAGCGUCUGUAUUGCAGUCAGAAGAUGUAAUUAUGAUUACAGGCCUUCAAAA
rnacentral:tRNA from 1 species